rnacentral:rRNA from 1 species
GUGGAUUAGAUACCCUGGUAGUCCACGCCGUAAACUAUCAAUACUCGUUUUCAGCGAUAUACAGUUGGAGACUAAGCGAAAGUGAUAAGUAUUGCACCUGGGGAGUACGAUCGCAAGGUUGAAACUCAAAGGAAUUGACGGGGGCCCGCACAAGCGGUGGAGCAUGUGGUUUAAUUCGAUGAUACGCGAGGAACCUUACCAGGGCUUAAAUGUAGAGGGAAUGACGUGGAAACAUGUCAGUCUUCGGACCGUCUACAAGGUGCUGCACGGUCGUCGCCAACU